rnacentral:rRNA from 1 species
AUACGGAGGGUGCAAGCGUUGUUCGGAAUUACUGGGCGUAAAGCGCGUGUAGGCGGAUAUACAUGUCAGAUGUGAAAUCCCUUGGCUCAACUGAGGAAGUGCAUCUGAAACUGCAUAUCUUGAGUACGAUAGAGGAGAGUGGAAUUCCCAGUGUAGAGGUGAAAUUCAUAGAUAUUGGGAAGAACACCGGUGGCGAAGGCGGCUCUCUGGAUCGAUACUGACGCUGAUACGCGAAAGCGUGGGGAGCAAACAGGAUUAGAUACCCUGGUAGUCCACGCUGUAAACGAUGUGCACUAGGUGUUGGAAGUAAUUAAACUUUCAGUGCCGAAGCUAACGCAUUAAGUGCACCGCCUGGGGAUUACGGUCGCAAGAUUAAA